rnacentral:rRNA from 2 species
AACUGACGCUGAGGCUCGAAAGUAUGGGUAGCAAACAGGAUUAGAUACCCUGGUAGUCCAUACCGUAAACGAUGAAUGCUAAGUGUUGGAGGGUUUCCGCCCUUCAGUGCUGCAGCUAACGCAUUAAGCAUUCCGCCUGGGGAGUACGGCCGCAAGGCUGAAACUCAAAGGAAUUGACGGGGGCCCGCACAAGCGGUGGAGCAUGUGGUUUAAUUCGAAGCUACGCGAAGAACCUUACCAGGUCUUGACAUACUAUGCAAAUCUAAGAGAUUAGACGUUCCCUUCGGGGACAUGGAUACAGGUGGUGCAUGGUUGUCGUCAGCUCGUGUCGUGAGAUGUUGGGUUAAGUCCCGCAACGAGCGCAACCCUUAUUAUCAGUUGCCAGCAUUAAGUUGGGCACUCUGGUGAGACUGCCGGUGACAAACCGGAGGAAGGUGGGGAUGACGUCAAAUCAUCAUGCCCCUUAUGACCUGGGCUACACACGUGCUACAAUGGAUGGUACAACGAGUUGCGAACUCGCGAGAGUAAGCUAAUCUCUUAAAGCCAUUCUCAGUUCGGAUUGUAGGCUGCAACUCGCCUACAUGAAGUCGGAAUCGCUAGUAAUCGCGGAUCAGCAUGCCGCGGUGAAUACGUUCCCGGGCCUUGUACACACCGCCCGUCACACCAUGAGAGUUUGUAACACCCAAAGUCGGUGGGGUAACCUUUUAGGAACCAGCCGCCUAAGGUGGGACAGAUGAUUAGGGUGAAGUCGAACAAU